UACGGGGGGUGCAAGCGUUGUUCGGAAUUACUGGGCGUAAAGGGCUCGUAGGCGGCCAACUAAGUCGGCUGUGAAAUCCCCAGGCUCAACUUGGGAACUGCACCCGAUACUGGAAGGCUUGAGACCGGGAGAGGUGAGUGGAAUUCCCAGUGUAGCGGUGAAAUGCGUAGAUAUUGGGAGGAACACCAGUGGCGAAGGCGGCUCACUGGACCGGAACUGACGCUGAGGCGCGAAAGCGUGGGGAGCAAACAGG
rnacentral:rRNA from 1 species